UGAGUUUUAAGUUAUAUAAACUACUAGCCUUCCAAGCUUGAAAAAAAAAAAUUAGACUCAA
rnacentral:tRNA from 1 species